rnacentral:rRNA from 1 species
UACGUAGGGCGCAAGCGUUGUCCGGAAUUAUUGGGCGUAAAGAGCUCGUAGGCGGUCUGUCGCGUCCGUUGUGAAAACUCGAGGCUCAACCUCGGGCUUGCAGUGGAUACGGGCAGACUAGAGUGCGGUAGGGGGAGACUGGAAUUCCUGGUGUAGCGGUGGAAUGCGCAGAUAUCAGGAGGAACACCGAUGGCGAAGGCAGGUCUCUGGGCCGAUACUGACGCUGAGGAGCGAAAGCGUGGGGAGCAAACAGG